AGAGAGAGACAUGCGCGCAUAUCAAUAAGCGGAGGAAAAGAAACUAACUAGGAUUCCCUCAGUAACGGCGAGUGAAGCGGGAAGAGCUCAAAUUUGAAAUCUUCAAGGUUCUACCUUGACGAAUUGUAGUUUAAAGAAGUGUUUUCUGUUGGAGUUUUGGUAAAAGUUCUUUGGAAUAGGACAUCAUAGAGGGUGAGAAUCCCGUAUUUGACCAUUAUUUCCAGCUUUGUGAUACACUUUCAAAGAGUCGGAUUGUUUGGGAAUGCAGUCCAAAAUGGGUGGUAAAUUUCAUCUAAAGCUAAAUAUUGGCGAGAGACCGAUAGCGAACAAGUACCGUGAGGGAAAGAUGAAAAGAACUUUGAAAAGAGAGUUAAACAGUACGUGAAAUUGUCAAAAGGGAAGCGUUUGACACCAGUGUUGUUUUCUCGAAAAUCAAUUAAAAAAGGCAGGAUUUUGUGUUGUAUUGACUUUAUCAGCUUUCUGCACUCUUUUCUUGUCUUUUUUAAUGCACUUUUCGUUUAACAAGUCAACAUCAAUUUCUUUUGUUGUAAAAGGGUCAUUGGAAGGUGGCUUUCUUUUCGGAGAAAGUGUUUAUAGCCUUUGGCCUCUGCAAUCGGAGAGAUUGAGGUCUGCAGCGUAGAUCCUUCGGGGUUAGAUACAUUUGUGCUAAGUUAUAGCCUUUCAUAGACAACUUGUUGACUAUGAUCAGUCAUGUAGCUUACUCGCUUAUGUUAUUUUACCUACGCUUAGGAUGUUGAUGUGAUACUGCGAGC
rnacentral:rRNA from 1 species